CAGAAAUGGAGGAGGGAGACCCUGCGUAGCAGACUGGCUGUUCUGCUAAUCCCAGGCAGAUGCGGGUUUGAACAUUAAAAGACAUGAGACUUUACUUGGGGCUACUGAAGCAGACAUCAGGGUUUCACUGGGAAGGCAGCACCCCAGGACUGAGACAUGAUGAGCGGCGGGGCCCACGGUGGAGAAGGAGUCCUGCUGAUUCUUCCAUGUUGAGCUGCAGCAGGGAGCGGAUUCUUGGUUCCUGGGAGAUGAAUUUCUCGGAGGCCUGGGGCAGAAAGGAUGCAGCCAUUUGCCUUGUGUGCCUGGAGCUGCGGCUGCCGGAGAGGACCCAUGGCAGGGCCUGCAGGCCUAGGUCGUCUGGGUUGGAGCUUCCUGUGGUUUCCUUUAACAACAAAUUCUGAACAGCACCAGAAUAUGGGUAAGUUAAUUGGUCAUGAUGCUGGAGCGGACAGGCAGGCUGGGCCUAAACGACUGCAGAAGCCUUGUGAAUCACGGAGCAAGCCAGAAUCUCCCACCUGGCUCAUUCACUCAGGGCUCCAGAGCCCCAUUACCAUCGCUUGUCAGCCAC
rnacentral:lncRNA from 1 species